rnacentral:rRNA from 1 species
CUACGGGAGGCUGCAGGGAAGAAUAUUGUACAAUGGGGGAAACCCUGAUACAGCAACGCCGCGUGAAGGAAGAAGGCCUUCGGGUUGUAAACUUCUGUGACGGGGGACGAAUAAAAUGACGGUACCCCGAGAGGAAGCUCCGGCAAACUACGUGCCAGCAGCCGCGGUAAUACGUAGGGGGCGAGCGUUGUCCGGAAUCACUGGGCGUAAAGGGCGCGUAGGCGGCCUGUUAAGUUGAAUGUGAAAUCCCGGGGCUCAACCCCGGACGUGCAUUCAAAACUGGCGGGCUUGAGUAUGGUAGAGGCAAGUGGAAUUCCUAGUGUAGCGGUGGAAUGCGUAGAUAUUAGGAGGAACACCAGUGGCGAAGGCGACUUGCUGGGCCAAAACUGACGCUGAGGCGCGAAAGCGUGGGGAGCAAACAGGAUUAGAUACCCCCGUAGUC